GCUGAAGAACGCAGCGAAAUGCGAUACGUAAUGUGAAUUGCAGAAUUCAGUGAAUCAUCGAGUCUUUGAACGCACAUUGCGCCCCCUGGUAUUCCGGGGGGCAUGCCUGUCCGAGCGUCAUUGCUGCCCUCAAGCACGGCUUGUGUGUUGGGCCUCCGUCCUCCUCCCGGGGGACGGGCCCGAAAGGCAGCGGCGGCACCGCGUCCGGUCCUCGAGCGUAUGGGGCUUUGUCACCCGCUCUUGUAGGCCCGGCCGGCGCUUGCCGACACAUCAAUCUUUUUUCCAGGUUGACCUCGGAUCAGGUAGGGAUACCCGCUGAACUUAAGCAUAUCAAUAAGCGGAGGA
rnacentral:misc_RNA from 1 species